rnacentral:rRNA from 1 species
AAACUAACAAGGAUUCCCCUAGUAACGGCGAGUGAAGCGGGAAGAGCUCAAAUUUGAAAUCUAGUAGCCUUCGGCUGCUCGAGUUGUAAUCUAGAGAAGUGUUUUCCGUGCCGGCCCAUGUACAAGUCCCUUGGAACAGGGCGUCAUAGAGGGUGAGAAUCCCGUCCUUGACAUGGACCCCCGGUGCUCUGUGAUACACUUUCAACGAGUCGAGUUGUUUGGGAAUGCAGCUCAAAAUGGGUGGUGAAUUCCAUCUAAAGCUAAAUAUUGGCGAGAGACCGAUAGCGAACAAGUACCGUGAGGGAAAGAUGAAAAGCACUUUGGAAAGAGAGUUAAACAGUACGUGAAAUUGUUGAAAGGGAAACGAUUGAAGUCAGUCAUGCUCUUUGGUAUUUAUAUCAUUGAGUGGGGUCAACAUCAGUUUUGAUCGAUGGAUAAAGGCACUAGGAAGGUAGCACUCUCGGGUGAACUUAUAGCCUGGCGUCAUAUACAUUGAUUGGGACUGAGGAACGCAGCAUGCCUUUAUGGCCGGGAUUCGUCCACGUACAUGCUUAGGAUGUUGACAUAAUGGCUUUAAACGAC